CUAACUGAAAUCACAAACAUGCCAAAAUUGGUAUAGUGGGUGAUAACAUAAGGGAAAAUAAUGAUGAUACCUUAUUAUUAGUGCUGUCCAAGUCUCGUGCCAGAAGACUCGGUAAGGCGAGAGGCGCAAACGUUAGUCGUCUUAAUCAGGCGUAAAGGGUUCGUAGGCAGCUUAGAACAUCUUUCUUUUUAAAAAUUAGCCUUUAUUAUACAAUUAAGUAUAAAUUCGUAAAAUUUAAGAUAAGUAAAAGCUAGGAUCUUAUUGAGGUUAUAUUAAAUAAUACUUAAGGUAGGGAUAAAAUCCUCAGAACUUAAGGGGAAUACUAAUGGCGAAGGCUAUUUUUCCACUAUGGAUCGACGCUGAGGAACGAAGGUGAGGAUAGGAAAAAGGAUUAGAUACCCAAGUACCCCUCUCUGUCAACGAUGAAUGGUGAUUUCUAGUAUUCUAAUGAGAACUAGUUCUUAUGCUAACGCGCUAACCAUUCCGCCUUGUGAGUACGGUUGCAAAACUGAAAACAAAAAAAUUAGUCGGUCUCGAAGCAAACGAAGUGAAGCAUGUUAUUUAAUACGAUAAUCCGCGUAAAAUCUUACCAGUUCUUGCAUACAAAACUUACUAUCCACAAAAAAAAAGCCAGAUAUUUUACUAUAUUUAGUUUUUUUAUUGUUGGAAUAGGAGGAGUGUUCAUAAUUUAAUUUAAAAAAAUCAAAAACCACUCUGCUACAGGUGUUGCAUGGCUGUCGUCAGUCCGUAUCGUGAGAAGUGAGGUUAACUCCACUAACGGACGAAAUCCCUGUUAUUAAUUUAUACUUAAUAAUUCAUGGUCUUUACAUAUUCCAUUGGG
rnacentral:rRNA from 1 species